UACGGAGGGUGCAAGCGUUAUCCGGAUUCACUGGGUUUAAAGGGUGCGUAGGUGGGUAGGUAAGUCAGCGGUGAAAUCCCCGAGCUUAACUUGGGAACUGCCAUUGAUACUAUCUGUCUUGAAUACCUUGGAGGUGAGCGGAAUAUGUCAUGUAGCGGUGAAAUGCUUAGAUAUGACAUAGAACACCAAUUGCGAAGGCAGCUCACUACACGGUCAUUGACACUGAGGCACGAAAGCGUGGGGAGCGAAC
rnacentral:rRNA from 1 species